rnacentral:rRNA from 1 species
CACGUAGGGCGCAAGCGUUGUCCGGAAUUAUUGGGCGUAAAGAGCUCGUAGGCGGUCUGUUGCGUCUGCUGUGAAAACUCGGGGCUUAACCCCGAGCCUGCAGUGGAUACGGGCAGACUAGAGGUAGGUAGGGGAGAAUGGAAUUCCCGGUGUAGCGGUGAAAUGCGCAGAUAUCGGGAGGAACACCGGUGGCGAAGGCGGCUCUCUGGGACGGUACUGACGCUGAGACGCGAAAGCGUGGGGAGCGAACGAG